rnacentral:rRNA from 1 species
GACGGAGGAUGCAAGUGUUAUCCGGAAUCACUGGGCGUAAAGCGUCUGUAGGUGGUUUAACAUUCCACUGUUAAAGAUUGAAGCUUAACUUCAAAAAUGCCGUGGAAACUUUUAAACUUGAGUAUGAUAGGGGUAGAGGGAAUUUCCAGUGGAGCGGUGAAAUGCGUAGAUAUUGGAAAGACCACCAAUGGCGAAGGCAAUCUACUGGGCCAUUACUGACACUGAGAGACGAAAGCUAGGGGAGCAAAUGGG